UACGUAGGGGGCAAGCGUUGCUCGGAAUCACUGGGCGUAAAGGGUGCGUAGGCGGGUUUUUAAGUCAGGGGUGAAAUCCUGGAGCUCAACUCCAGAACUGCCUUUGAUACUGAAGAUCUCGAGUCCGGGAGAGGUGAGUGGAACUGCGAGUGUAGAGGUGAAAUUCGUAGAUAUUCGCAAGAACACCAGUGGCGAAGGCGGCUCACUGGCCCGGUACUGACGCUGAGGUGCGAAAGCGUGGGGAGCAAACAGG
rnacentral:rRNA from 1 species